rnacentral:rRNA from 1 species
AACGAACGCUGGCGGCAUGCCUAACACAUGCAAGUCGAACGAGACCUUCGGGUCUAGUGGCGCACGGGUGCGUAACGCGUGGGAACCUGCCCUUAGGUUCGGAAUAACCCCCCGAAAGGGGUGCUAAUACCGGAUAAUGUCUUCGGACCAAAGAUUUAUCGCCUUUGGAUGGGCCCGCGUUGGAUUAGCUAGUUGGUAGGGUAAAAGCCUACCAAGGCGACGAUCCAUAGCUGGUCUGAGAGGAUGAUCAGCCACACUGGGACUGAGACACGGCCCAGACUCCUACGGGAGGCAGCAGUGGGAAAUAUUGGACAAUGGGCGAAAGCCUGAUCCAGCAAUGCCGCGUGAGUGAUGAAGGCCUUAGGGUUGUAAAGCUCUUUUACCCGGGAUGAUAAUGACAGUACCGGGAGAAUAAGCUCCGGCUAACUCCGUG